UACGUAGGGGGCUAGCGUUGUCCGGAAUCAUUGGGCGUAAAGCGCGUGUAGGCGGUCCGGUAAGUCCGCUGUGAAAGUCGGGGGCUCAACCCUCGGAUGCCGGUGGAUACUGUCGGGCUUGAGUACGGAAGAGGCGAGUGGAAUUCCUGGUGCAGCGGUGAAAUGCGCAGAUAUCAGGAGGAACACCAAUUGCGAAGGCAGCUCGCUGGGACGUUACUGACGCUGAGACGCGAAAGCGUGGGGAGCAAACAGG
rnacentral:rRNA from 1 species